rnacentral:pre_miRNA from 1 species
UAUUGGGUCGGUGCAAAAGUGAUUGUGGUUUUUGCCAUUAAAAGUAGUAGCAAAAACCCCAAUUACUUUUGCACCGACCUAAUA